UCAAAUGAAGCAUUAUUAAAA
rnacentral:piRNA from 1 species